GACGUAGGGUGCGAGCGUUGUUCGGAAUUACUGGGCGUAAAGGGCGCGUAGGCGGCCUUCUAAGUCGAACGUGAAAUCCCCGGGCUCAACCCGGGAACUGCGUCCGAGACUGAAAGGCUUGAAUCCGGGAGAGGGAUGUGGAAUUCCAGGUGUAGCGGUGAAAUGCGUAGAUAUCUGGAGGAACAUCGGUGGCGAAGGCGGCAUCCUGGACCGGUAUUGACGCUGAGGCGCGAAAGCCAGGGGAGCAAACGGG
rnacentral:rRNA from 1 species